rnacentral:rRNA from 1 species
UACGGAGGGAGCUAGCGUUGUUCGGAAUUACUGGGCGUAAAGCGCACGUAGGCGGCUUUUUAAGUCAGGGGUGGAAUCCCGGGGCUCAACCCCGGAACUGCCUUUGAAACUGGAGAGCUAGAAUCUUGGAGAGGCGAGUGGAAUUCCGAGUGUAGAGGUGAAAUUCGUAGAUAUUCGGAAGAACACCAGUGGCGAAGGCGACUCGCUGGACAGGUAUUGACGCUGAGGUGCGAAAGCGUGGGGAGCAAACAGG